rnacentral:rRNA from 1 species
CUACGGGACGCUCCAGUGAGGAAUAUUGCACAAUGGGGGGAACCCUGAUGCAGCAACGCCGCGUGGAGGAUGACGCAUUUCGGUGUGUAAACUCCUUUUAUAUGUCAAGAAAAUGACGGUAGCAUAUGAAUAAGCACCGGCUAACUCCGUGCCAGCAGCCGCGGUAAUACGGAGGGUGCAAGCGUUACUCGGAAUCACUGGGCGUAAAGGAAGCGUAGGCGGGUUGGAAAGUCAGGUGUGAAAUCCCACAGCUUAACUGUAGAACUGCACUUGAAACUUCUAAUCUAGAGUAUGGGAGGGGGAGAUGGAAUUAGUGGUGUAGGGGUAAAAUCCGUAGAUAUCACUAGGAAUACCUAAAGCGAAGGCGAUCUCCUGGAACAUUACUGACGCUAAGGCGUGAAAGCGUGGGGAGCAAACAGGAUUAGAUACCCUCGUAGUC